UACAGAGGUCCCAAGCGUUGUUCGGAUUUAUUGGGCGUAAAGGGCGCGUAGGUGGCGCCGUAAGUCGGGUGUGAAAUUUCGGAGCUUAACUCCGAAACUGCAUUCGAUACUGCGGUGCUUGAGGACUGGAGAGGAGACUGGAAUUCAUGGUGUAGCAGUGAAAUGCGUAGAGAUCAUGAGGAAGACCAGUGGCGAAGGCGGGUCUCUGGACAGUACCUGACACUGAGGCACGAAGGCCAGGGGAGCAAACGGG
rnacentral:rRNA from 1 species